UACAGAGGUCUCAAGCGUUGUUCGGAUUCAUUGGGCGUAAAGGGUGCGUAGGCUGCGCGGAAAGUUGGGUGUGAAAUACCUCGGCUCAACCGAGGAACUGCGCCCAAAACUACCGUGCUCGAGGAAGAUAGAGGUGAGCGGAACUUACGGUGGAGCGGUGAAAAUGCGUUGAUAUCGUAAGGAACACCCGUGGCGAAAGCGGCUCACUGGGUCUUUUUCUGACGCUGAUGCACGAAAGCUAGGGGGAGCAAACGGG
rnacentral:rRNA from 1 species